rnacentral:tRNA from 1 species
ACCGCGAUAGCUCAGUUAGUAGAGCAUCUGCCCGGUAAGCGGAUAGUUGCCGGUUCGUCUCCGGCUCGCGGCG